rnacentral:rRNA from 1 species
GAGUGGCGGACGGGUGAGUAAUGCUUGGGAAUCUGCCCAGUAGUGGGGGACAACACGAGGAAACUCGUGCUAAUACCGCAUACGUCCUACGGGAGAAAGUGGGGGAUCUUCGGACCUCACGCUAUUGGAUGAGCCCAAGUCGGAUUAGCUGUGGUGGGUAGGCACCAGGCACAUCCGUGCUGUCUAGAGACAUAGCACUCUGGACUGAACACGGCAGACUCUACGGAGGCAGCAGUGGGGAUAUGACAAUGGGGCAACCCUGAUCCAGCAAUGCCGCGUGUGUGAGAAGGCCUGCGGGUUGUAAAGCACUUUCAGUAGAGAAGAAAAGCCUGGGGUUAAUACCCGCGGGUCUCGACGUAACCUACAGAAGAAGCACCGGCUAACUCCGUGCCAGCAGCCGCGGUAAUACGGAGGGUGCGAGCGUUAAUCGGAAUUACUGGGCGUAAAGCGCGCGUAGGCGGCUAGGUCAGUCGGAUGUGAAAGCCCGGGCUAACCUGGAAUGCACUCAAGCUGCCUGGCUAGAGUAUGGGAGAGGAAGCGGAAUUCGGUGUACGGUGAAAUCGUAAUAUCGGAAGACACAGUGGCGAAGGCGGCUUCCUGGCCCAAUACUGACGCUCAGGUGCGAAAGCGUGGGUAGCGAACAGGAUUAGAUACCCUGGAGUCCACGCCGUAACGAUGAGAACUAGAUGUCGGGAGGAUUUACCUUUCGGUGUCGCAGCUAACGCAUUAAGUUCUCCGCCUGGGGAGUACGCCGGCAACGGUAAAACUCAAAGGAAUUGACGGGGACCCGCACAAGCGGUGGAGCAUGUGGUUUAAUUCGAUGCAACGCGAAGAACCUUACCUGGUCUUGACAUCCUCGGAACUUUCCAGAGAUGGAUUGGUGCCUUCGGGAAUCGAGUGACAGGUGCUGCAUGGCUGUCGUCAGCUCGUGUCGUGAGAUGUUGGGUUA